UGUCUGCAUUGUUCAUUCUGGACCUUAUUUUGAAAUUGUCAUAUUUUUUAGUUUUCGUGAAAUUGGCCAAAUUGCAAAUUUCUGACCACAUUAUUAGGUAGUUGAAAUCAGUAAAUGGGCAGUUUCUUGUAUUCAAUCGAUAGAAAAAAUGAAGUUCUAAAGAAAUAGCUAUGAGUUUGGGCGACUGGAACAAUGGAAUUAGCCGAAAAUAGGGCUCAAAGUGGGCGAAAUCGCCGAUUUGUAAACAGCGCCGAGGUCGCUAACUUCGCGAGAGCAUAAUUCCGUCAGUUUUCCAUCAAAUUUCGUUUUUUUGGUGUCAUUACAAUCGGGAAAAGAUUCUCUAUCAUUUCAUGAGAAAAAAUAAUUUUUUUUUUUUUGUUUAAAUUUUGCGACACCAGGAGACACCUCAGGAUUGGGGGUUGCGACAGUCAAAGGGUUAACACAUUCUGCUUUGUUUACAAUUCUCAGCAUGAAUUCUUCUCAUUACUUCUCCCUUCUUUUAUGAUGGCAUCUAAAGGUAAUUGUUAGAAAUGAUUAAACUCAGUGAGCAAGGUAUGUCAUUGGUAAUAAUAUGGCUCUGGGCUGCAUUAAAUACCCUACAUCUACCGGCUACCUACACCUUACUUCCUACAAAUAAUUAUCACCUCUUGCCCUACAUUAAGACUACAAUUUUUUUUUUUUUUUAUUAACACAUCGGCCGAUUCCCACCAAGGCAGGGUGGCCCAAAAAAGAAAAACUUUCAUCAUCAUUCACUCCAUCACUGUCUUACCUGAGGGGUGCUUUACACUACAGUUAUAAAACUGCAGCAUUAAUUCCCCUCCUUCAGAGUGUAGACACUGUACUUCCCAUCUCCAGAACUCAAGUCUGGCCUGCCGGUUUACCUGAAUCCCUUCAUAAAUGUUACUUUUCUCACACUCCAACACGUAUCAAGUAUUAAAAGUCAUUUAUCUCCAUUCACUCCUAUCAAAUACGCUCAUGCACGCUUGCUGGAAGUCCAAGCCCCUCGCACACAUAACCUCCUUUACCCCCUCCCUCCAACCCUUCCUAGGCCAACCCCUACCCCGCCUUCCCUCCACUACAGAUUUAUGCACUCUCAAAGUCAUUCUGUUUUUUUCCAUUCUUUCUACAUCUCCAAACCACCUCAACAACCCCUCCUCAGCCCUCUGGAUAAUAUGUAGUUUUGAUAAUCCACGCCGUUUCCUAAUUUCCAAACUACGAGUCUUCUGCAUUAUAUUCACACAACACAUUGCCCUCAGACAUGACAUCUCAACUGCUUCCAGCCUUCUCCUCAUUCCAACAUUCAUCACCCAUGCUUCACAUCCAUACAAGAGUGUUGGUACAACUAUACUCUCAUACAUUCCCCUCUUUGCCUCCAAGGACAAAGUUCUUUGUCUCCACAGACUCCUAAGUGCACCACUCGCCCUUUUCCCCUCAUCAAUUCUAUGAUUCACUUCAUCCUACAUAGACCCAUCUGCUGACAUGUCCACUCCUAAAUAUCUCAAUACAUUCACCUUCUCCAUACUCUCUCCCUCAAGUAUUUUAAGGAAAGUAGUGAAUUUAUUGUGUAUGUAUUUGGCUUUCUAUUGUUUUUUAAUGCCUAGUUCUACUGUUAGCUGCCAUUUGUAUGCGUUUAUAAAUGGAAAAGCCACAUUCUGCUUUCAGGCGAUGUCCGCUUUCCGGCGGUAGCCUGGAACCUAACCUACCGUAUGAGUGGGGCCCUACUGUGUGUGUGUGUGUUUUUUUUUUUUUUUAAUGUCACCCAUUUCCCACCAAUGCAGGGUGACCCAAAAGAAAGAAAAACCCAGAAAGAAAGAAAAAACUUCCAUUAUCAUUCAACACUUUCACCGUCACUCAUACAUAAUUACUGUCUUUGCAGAUGCACCCAGAUAUGACAGUUUAGAUAGUCACUCCAAACUGCCAAUAUCCCAGAAUCCCCCUUUAAAGUGCAGGCAUUGUACUUCCCAUUUCCAGGACUCAAGUCUGGCUAACUGGUUUCUCUGAAUCCCUUCACAAAAUAUUACCCUGCUCACGCUCCAACAGCUCGUUAGGUUCCAAAAACCAUUCAUCUCCAUUCGCUCCUAUCUAACACACUCGUGCAUCGUAUAUGGUGCUUGCCUCUUCUGUCAAUGGUCAGCUCAUUCCUCUUUUAUUUUUCCACCUGUGUUGAAAAAAUGUUUCCUGAUAUCUGUGACUCAUUUGGGUGUGUAAUUUCCACCCAUGCUCCCUUGUUCCUGUUGCAUCCCUGAUACACAGCUUAUCCUUGCCUACCUUGUUUAUGUUCCAUAGCAUUAUGUAUGUUAUGAUCAUAUUUCAUUUUGUCCAUUUCUCCAUUAACAUAAGGCCUAGUACUUGCAUUAUUUCUUCAUAUCUUAUCCCUCAGUUUAGGUACCAUUCUUGGAGCACUCCUUUAUACCUUCUCCAGUUUCACCUUUUUUUUUUUUACUAGGUCAGGGUUCUACAUCAGUGCCACAUGGCUCAAGAGUGGGUUGCACUUAGGUAAAGCGUGGUUUGAAUGAGUCUUUGUCUAGGUUCCUGAAUUCCAUUUUUUAUUUGCAAGCUUAGCUUGUGUUGCUGAUUUUGGGUGGUUUCCAUUGCCACUGCAAAAUAUUAAAAUUUGGGACAGCAACCUUGAUAACCAUUUUGAUAAAAAAAAAUUUUUUUGCAAUUAUGAUAUACCUGUUGUAACAAAGAUAAAUGUUCUCAAUCUGUGUUGUAGUUGCAAUUUUUAGCACAUUGAAAAAUGACUUGAACUUUCGUGUGCUUGCCUAAUGGAUUGUUUGUUUGAUGACUCUAGUGUUGAGAUUUUUUCUGGUUUGUUUGAUGUAUGAAAAUAAUCAGCCUUUGUAGGGAGUUUUGUAUAUCCCUGGCAUUCCUUGGAUAAUUAAACACUUCCCUAAAUGAUGUAGUUGCAUGGACUUUAGCUCAAAACACUCUUAAUUUUGCAUUGGACAAGCAGUGUUAUUAACUGCAAGGGAAUGAGAGAAUAUUUAUGAAUGGUUUUACAUUUUUUCAUAAUGUUGCACCCCAGCCUGAGGUCAGGUUUUCUUAAUGACUAAUCGUUUGUUCAGUCAGACUAUUGCUGCUAGUGGCUUGCAAGUUUACAGAACAAUCACAACAUGGGUGAUUAUGCUCCACCUGUGGGAAUUUGUGUAUUUCCCUCUCGAAAACUUUUGUUUGUUCUGGCGAUAUUUCUUAUACUUGCUGUUAAAAGGUCAAAGAAUCAUGGAUCUCUAAUGUUAGCAGUGUUCUGUAACUGUGUUUAUAAUAUCAAUAUUUUUUCAUUUAGUUUAUUCCACACUUGUAUUUCUCAGUUCACAAAUAACCUGCAUUUAGGAGGGUGAGAGUAAUGGCAAUGUUUUGAUCCAAACUUAUUACUACUAUCCUUUUCUCAAGUGUGAGUUAUUUGUGUAUUGUUCUAGCCAUGGUAUUGUGACUUAUUCUUUAUUUCACUCAGUUCAGUAAGUUGGUAGUUUACUGUGCAUAAUAGGGACCUGAUCAAAUAUUUACAACUUUAGUGAAACUCCCAUCUCUGUUCCAGAAUACAUUCAGAUUGUUUUGUGCUGAUAGCAGUAGUUAAGAUGACCAAUUGUUUCUGAAAGAAUUAAAUCACAUAUAUUUUCUAAUUCUGACAUCACCUGAAAUUGAAAGGAAAUUUGAGGCAGGUCAUUGUUUUAAAUGAGAGUGCAAGUGCCUUGUAAAAUGCGAUCAUCGUUGUGACAUUCCUUAUUUUGAAUUUUAAAUUUUUUUAUGACAAACUGCUGAGUUCAUUGUGGUUAUACAGCACUGAAGUUUUAAACAGUGAGGGGAAUGUCCUCCUCAUAUAAACCAAAGAAAAUGCUAGACUCUCCAUGGAUUGUGCUUGUAAGACUCAAGCCUAGUUCAAGGAAUUUUUCCCAUCUUGUAAAGGUGAACUACCUUUGAAAGAGCUCUUGUUUUGGAGGGUCUCAUAAUCAGCCCUAUCAUUUAAAUGCCUAAUGCUAUAUUUAUUUCAUUGUUCUCUCUCUUCUCAGAUAUCUUAAGCAUUACUUUUUUACUUUACUGAAACAGUUAAAAUUUAUCGCUCAUGUUGAUUUCAAUAGUACAGUGAUAGACCUUUGGGCCUAGUUUCAAAAAGUUGCAGAGGCAAUUUUUGUACUGAUUUUGGUAUCCUCCUUAAAAGAUGGUGUGACGCUGUUAGUUUUUAUAUUACUAUAAGACUGAGCAAAGGCACAAGGAUUGUGCCUUGUGUUACUGAUUUUAUUUUUUCUUACUGUAUGUAGACAUUGUUUGAUUUACUUAUUGUAACUUUUUAGAAAUCUUAUUAUAUUAUCAAAAUGCUUAUUUUACAUGUUAUUCCUUUCGACUUUGCUUCAGGAGCUAUCACUCCAUGAUCAUAUUUGUGAAGUGCCUUUGCAAAAUCUAUAUAUACAACCUCUACAUUUUAAUUUUCUUCAUGCCUCUUCAUUUUGUCAUAGUUGCCAAGUAAACCUGCCAAAAUUUUUAAAAUUUCUGACUUUGAUGAUUACAAUUGCACUCUAUAUGCCAAAAAUCUUGGUAGACCAAACUUGUCAAAACUGAGGUUUUUGGAAGAGUUGAAUCUGCAGCUACAAGGAACUUGAGAGAGCCUUCAGAUAGAGAAGAUUCCUGGUAAAUGCAGGUGUGGGAUGUAGUUUCUUAUUUCAAGCAUUGCCAGUAUCGUGGUUAAGAUUAGUUGACUCUGUAUAUGAAAUUGUAAGCACCUGUUUAAAGUGUUACCGCAGAAUCUAAAACAUUAAGAUGAGAUAGUUUAUAACCUGUGUUUUAGUACUUUUAUUGUAACUAAUAUAGAAAGAGGUAUGGUAUACAAAAAUUUUGUUACAAUAGAUUUACAACAAAAUAUAUUACUACUGUAACAAGAAAAUGAAGACUUACAAAAUCAUGAUAUCACGAUUGCAAACAAACCACAGAACGGGUGGUGUUUGAACCCAUGGCGAGUAAGUCGUAAAAUUCCAGGCCAGUGGGUUCAAACCUCACCAGUUCCAUGGUUUAUUUAGAAGAAAAUAAAAAUUAAUUGAUAAUUCCAAUGUAUUUGUACAGUCAGGAAAGUAAAUAAAAAGAAGUUAUUGUGAGGCAGGAGUCUCACCAUAUUUUGCAGUAAAGGGAUAAUUUUGGUGGUAUCUUAUGUAAUAGCUUGUAGUACAAAUAUUGGAAACAAAAUUUUAUUGGAUUCAGUAAAAUAAUGUACAUAAAUAAUUGAAGUUUUGUACACUAUAUCCAUCUGUUGCAUUAUUUUUAAUAUGUAGGAUGGAAAGGAUUACAAAUUUUGAACUUUGUUCCUUCACAUAGACUAUUAGGUAAUAGAUGAAUAAAAGCAUAGCAGUUUGUAAUUGUGGAAGGAUCAAAUAAGCUAUCAGUUCAGUAAAAUCUUUAGUUGUUAUACUAUAUUCGUUUUCACCAUAUCUGUAUUUCAUAUUAUUCUGUAAAUAAGGAUAUAUUGUAUCUAGUCUGAGACUUUGGAAGGUAGAGCAACAAUUAUCCAAAAGACAUUUAAAGUGCAACAUUGACAUUUAUCUUGAGUUGGAAAUGUGGCAUUAUGAUUGUUACUGUUAAUGAGUUUGCCAUAAUGGACUACGAAGUGCUUCACAACUGUCGCCAUGUUUUCCGGAGUAAGCCGAGAGUGCACAUCUUAGAUAAAAUGACGUUGAGGUAACACAAUGGUUGUGACUACUAUUAAGAUUUUUAAAUUAUCACAAAAAAUGUAGCAUACCUUACUGUGAAGAGACAUGUAGGUGCUAUUACUUAUUUGAGGCCUUUGACCUAAGUGCUUUAGUCUUGUGGUUGUGAUUCACACAUUUGUCAAUGAAGGUUAUCCUGCUUUAUUCUAGUUUAGACAGAUUCACAAGGUUAGUAAGCUGUAUUAGCACAUAUUAUCCUUAGCUCUAGAAUUUUAAAAAAAUAUUUAAUUUUAAAAUACUCUUGUGGGGAUUCAUGUUCCAGUGCCACCUUUAUUUUGAAAAGUAAUUGUAAAAAUGCAUGUAACAUAUUUAGAGCAUGCAAAUUAAAUAAUAUAAAUUA